GAUGAACGCUGGCGGCGUGCCUAAUACAUGCAAGUCGAGCGAACAGACGAGGAGCUUGCUCCUCUGACGUUAGCGGCGGACGGGUGAGUAACACGUGGAUAACCUACCUAUAAGACUGGGAUAACUUCGGGAAACCGGAGCUAAUACCGGAUAAUAUAUUGAACCGCAUGGUUCAAUAGUGAAAGACGGUUUUGCUGUCACUUAUAGCUGGAUCCGCGCCGCAUUAGCUAGUUGGUAAGGUAACGGCUUACCAAGGCGACGAUGCGUAGCCGACCUGAGCGGGUGAUCGGCCACACUGGAACUGAGACACGGUCCAGACUCCUACGGGAGGCAGCAGUAGGGAAUCUUCCGCAAUGGGCGAAAGCCUGACGGAGCAACGCCGCGUGAGUGAUGAAGGUCUUCGGAUCGUAAAACUCUGUUAUUAGGGAAGAACAAAUGUGUAAGUAACUAUGCACGUCUUGACGGUACCUAAUCAGAAAGCCACGGCUAACUACGUG
rnacentral:rRNA from 1 species